AGUAAUACAUCGGAACGUGUCUUCUAGUGGGGGAUAACUGCCCGAAAGGGCAGCUAAUACCGCAUGAGACCUGAGGGUGAAAGCGGGGGAUCGCAAGACCUCGCGCUGGAAGAGCGGCCGAUGUCCGACUAGCUAGUUGGUGAGGUAAAGGCUCACCAAGGCGACGAUCGGUAGCUGGUCUGAGAGGACGACCAGCCACACUGGGACUGAGACACGGCCCAG
rnacentral:rRNA from 1 species